rnacentral:rRNA from 1 species
AAUAAACGCUGGCGGCGUGCCUAACACAUGCAAGUCGAGCGAGAAAGCUCCUUCGGGAGUUAGUAAAGCGGCGAACGGGUGAGCAACACGUGAGAAUCUACCCUUUAGUGAAGAAUACCCUCGAGAAAUCGAGGCUAAUACUGCAUACGUCCCUUCGGGGAGAAAGAUGGCCUCUUUGCUAUCGCUAAAGGAUGAGCUUGCGUACUAUUAGCUAGUUGGCGGGGUAAAGCCCACCAAGGCAAUGAUGGUUAACCGGCCUGAGAGGGUGUACGGUCACACUGGAACUUAGACACGGUCCAGACUCCUACGGGAGGCAGCAGUGAGGAAUCUUGCGCAAUGGGCGAAAGCCUGACGCAGCGACGCCGCGUGGAGGAUGACGGUUUUCGGAUUGUAAACUCCUGUUAAGCGGGAAGAAAGCCUUGUUUCUAAUACAAGCAAGGUAUGACGGUACCGCUAGAGAAAGCACCGGCUAACUUCGUGCCAGCAGCCGCGGUAAAGUGCGCG